GAAAUGCGAUAAGUAGUGUGAAUUGCAGAAUUCAGUGAAUCAUCGAAUCUUUGAACGCACAUUGCGCCCCUUGGUAUUCCAUGGGGCAUGCCUGUUCGAGCGUCAUUUGUACCUUCAAGCUUUGCUUGGUGUUGGGUGUUUGUCUCGCCUCUGCGCGCAGACUCGCCUCAAAACAAUUGGCAGCCCCCGCGUCGGCCACGAGCGCAGCAGAAACGCGAACUCGUGAGCCCGUCCGGGCGGCUCCCAGAAGCUACACCCACCCAGUUUGACCUCGGAUCGGGUAGGGAUACCCGCUGAACUUAAGC
rnacentral:misc_RNA from 1 species